rnacentral:sRNA from 1 species
UGCACGCGCCCUCCUUGGGCGUUUCCUCCCUAGACUCGGGCCGCCUCAUUUCUUGAGUGCGGCCUUUUUUUUAUUCGGC